UACAGAGGUCCCAAGCGUUGUUCGGAUUCACUGGGCGUAAAGGGCGCGUAGGCGGUCGGGCAAGUCUGACGUGAAAUCUUCAAGCUCAACUUGGAAACUGCGUCCGAUACUAUUCGGCUAGAGGAAUGGAGGGGAGACUGGAAUACUUGGUGUAGCAGUGAAAUGCGUAGAUAUCAAGUGGAACACCAGUGGCGAAGGCGAGUCUCUGGACAUUUCCUGACGCUGAGGCACGAAAGCCAGGGGAGCAAACGGG
rnacentral:rRNA from 1 species